CUCUCUUUCCUUUCACACACACACAAUAUCUCUCCUUUCUCUCUCUCCCUCUCUGUCUCUCAUCUCAUAUAUACAUAUACAUAUAUAUAUGGAUAGAUAGAUAGAUAGAUACAGAUAUUACAGACACACACCUUCAUUACAUUUCCGUAUAUAAUUUCACAACGUCUGAUUGUAAGAAGGGUUUUAUAGCUUCCCUGGGAGUCAACCGUGGCUUUGUAUUCAAGCCGCAGAUAGAGAGCUCAAUUUAUGUUAACUGCAAAUAAAUAGUGAAGUCGCAGAUCCGUGGAUGCAGAGAGAAAGCUCGAUAGAGACGUUUGUCUGGUUUUUGCGUGUGCACUAACAUCUUCUAGAUCCCUUGAAAACGGAAUCUUUGGUAGAUACGUUAUAUUCUAUGAAUCUACCUAAAAACCUCCAUCAAUUCCAUGAGGAAAUUUCAAAUCCACACUUUCCUCUAAGGCUGAGCAGUGGGCUUGGAAAGGGGCAUUACCCAGAGCUGAUUCCGGAUUCGCAUGCGCCCUGAACCCAGCCCCAGGCUAGGAAAUGGGAUUUAAGGUCC
rnacentral:lncRNA from 10 species